GCCCUUAUAGCUCAGUGGUAGAGCGCAGCACUUGUAUUCUUCUUUGAAGAUUCACUGCAAGUACAUGCUGAGGUCCAUCGUUCAAUCCGGUGUGGGGGCA
rnacentral:tRNA from 2 species